GCACUUGUAGCUUAACCUUAGAGCGCCGGUCUUGUAAGCCGGACGUAGGGGUUAAAGUCCCCUCUUCUGCU
rnacentral:tRNA from 1 species